rnacentral:rRNA from 1 species
UACGUAGGGCGCAAGCGUUGUCCGGAAUUAUUGGGCGUAAAGAGCGUGUAGGCGGCCAGACAGGUCCGUUGUGAAAACUCGAGGCUCAACCUCGAGACGUCGAUGGAACCGUCUGGCUAGAGUCCGGAAGAGGAGAGUGGAAUUCCUGGUGUAGCGGUGAAAUGCGCAGAUAUCAGGAAGAACACCCGUGGCGAAGGCGGCUCUCUGGGACGGUACUGACGCUGAGACGCGAAAGCGUGGGGAGCGAACAG